rnacentral:rRNA from 1 species
GAUGAACGCUAGCUACAGGCUUAACACAUGCAAGUCGAGGGGCAUCAGGGUGCAGCAAUGCACCGCUGGCGACCGGCGCACGGGUGAGUAACACGUAUCCAACCUUCCCUUUACUCGGGUAUAGGCUUUCGGAAGAAAGAUUAAUCCCCGAUACGAUAACAGUUUCGCAUGUUUCUGUUAUGAAAGGUUUUUUCCGGUUUUGGAUGGGGAUGCGUUCCAUUAGCUUGUUGGGGAGGUAACGGCUUCCCAAGGCUUCGAUGGAUAGGGGUUCUGAGAGGAAGGUCCCCCACACUGGUACUGAGACACGGACCAGACUCCUACGGGAGGCAGCAGUGAGGAAUAUUGGUCAAUGGGCGGAAGCCUGAACCAGCCAAGUAGCGUGAGAGAUGACUGCCCUACGGGUUGUAAACCUCUUUUAUACGGGACUAACAGGCACUACGCGUAGUGUUUUUGCAUGUACCGUUUGAAUAAGCAUCGGCUAACUCCGUGCCAGCAGCCGCGGUAAUACGGAGGAUGCGAGCGUUAUCCGGAUUUAUUGGGUUUAAAGGGUGCGUAGGCUGGUUUUUAAGUCAGCUGUGAAAGUUCGGGGCUUAACCUUGGAAUUGCAGUUGAUACUGGGGACCUUGAGUACAGAAUAGGCAGGCGGAAUUCGUGGUGUAGCGGUGAAAUGCGUAGAUAUUAGGAGGAACACCAGUGGCGAAGGCGGCUCACUGGACUGCAACUGACACUGAGGCACGAAAGCGUGGGGAGCAAACAGGAUUAGAUACCCUGGUAGUCCACGCCGUAAACGAUGGAUACUAGGUGUGGGGCCCGAUAGGGUUCCGUGCCGAAGCUAACGCAUUAAGUAUCCCGCCUGGGGAGUACGAUCGCAAGGUUGAAACUCAAAGGAAUUGACGGGGGCCCGCACAAGCAGCGGAGCAUGUGGUUUAAUUCGAAGCAACGCGAAGAACCUUACCAAGGCUUGACAUCCUCUGACGCAUGUAGAAGUACAUGUUCCCUUCGGGGCAGAGUGACAGGUGGUGCAUGGUUGUCGUCAGCUCGUGUCGUGAGAUGUUGGGUUAAGUCCCGCAACGAGCGCAACCCUUAUUGCUAGUUGCCAGCACGUUAAGGUGGGAACUCUAGUGAGACUGCCGGGGACAACUCGGAGGAAGGUGGGGACGACGUCAAAUCAUCAUGCCCCUUAUGUCUUGGGCUACACACGUGCUACAAUGGCCGGUACAAAGGGCAGCGACCCCGCAAGGGCAAGCGAGUCUCAAAAAGCCGGUCUCAGUUCGGAUCGUGGGCUGCAACCCGCCCACGUGAAGUUGGAGUUGCUAGUAAUCGCGAAUCAGCAUGUCGCGGUGAAUGCGUUCCCGGGCCUUGUACACACCGCCCGUCACACCACGGAAGUUGGGAGCACCCGAAGCCAGUGGCCUAACCGCAAGGAGGGAGCUGUCGAAGGUGAGAUCAAUGACUGGGGUG